AAAAAUAGAAAUUAUGAAACAGAAGUGAUAAUAAAUUGUGAAAUACCAACACAAACUAUCAUAGAAUUGGUAGUGGCUUCAUAAAACCAUGAAAGGUGUGACAAUCUUUAAUGAUUUGCCCAGACUAUUACAGAUUAUAGUAUAAUUUAUUUGUGAAAAUAAUUAAAUAAUUAGGUGUCGUAAUUAAAAACUAACGAACUAAUGAAUAGAUGAUGGGGAAAGGGUAGUUGUGUGCCUAAUAUUUUGGUAUACAUGCCAGUCAUCUGUUAUACAGCUUUCAUUCAGAAUCAGCUGAAGGCUUGAAAUUGUUAAGAAAUUACGUAACACUUAGAAGAUAAAAAAUAAAAUUAGUCGAUAAUACAUGGUAUCCAUCGUCCUCUACCUACGCGUUUGAACCGGGCUUAGGUGUUUAGGUUAGUUAUGAAUAACUAGGCAAGAUAAAAUUUUGCAUAUGAAUUAGUUAUGAACCGAACGUAUAUCAAUGGGGUAGGGCAGGUCGGUCAUUUUCGUACAUGUAUAAGCCAAGGAGCGGAAGAAAAACUUUUCACUUCCUGGAUAAAAUGAUAUCUAUAAUUCAAACAAAAUACAAAAAAGGAAGAGGUGAUGGAAAAAAGGAAUAACACAAGUUAUGGAGAAACAGAAUGAGGAACAAAUUAUACAUAUAUGUAUAAGUGAAAUUUGUAAUAAAGUUGACAAAGCUGGGUCGAUGGUUUUGAAGUA